rnacentral:lncRNA from 1 species
GGAAAAUAUCAAAAAUAACUACAUGAAAUAAAACUAUAAUAGCACCUCAAUGAUUCUAAAAUAACACAGAUCAUAACCAACCAUUUGAGAGCCACUGUUUAACCACAAAAUAAAUUUUUUAGAGUAGGCUAGAACUUAUUCAGAAUAAUAAACAGUAUAAGGCUUUGUGAUUUCUGCUCACCAAAACCACAAAAUGCAUUAUAAAUCACUGCACCGCGAGUCUAUUUGUGAGAACUGUCAGUCGGUUCAAGGCCCGGAGCUGUAGAUUUCUCCUACGUAACCUACUUUCAUACGACUCUUAUUCUCUGACACAUAAAAGCUGUGCUGCGCUUCCAAAGGCUGUCAUCUCCGAAGAGCAUCAUCAAAAGGAUGCUGCUCUGAUUCCCCCAGUUGCCAUGGAAACAGCUCACUGCAGGGAGGCUGUGGGAGGCGACGUGUGCUUCUGUGCAGCUGGUUGUCAUGGUGACCGAUACGGUGACUUACAUAAGUAUUCAUCCGGAGUUCGGCUUUGCCUCAUGAUGAAUUCAGCGCGAGUCGCUCCCGCUCGGAUGGAGUUAAAGCAAUGUCAUUGGGAGCCUCGGAUGAGGACGUUCAUGUGCCACCCACAUUACCGUCAGCCAAGAUGAGUAACACUGUUGUGGCAGUUCGGAGACAAACCUAAAGGGAGCUUCAAUGCAACGACACAACCAUUCCUCCAAUGAAACUACAGUUAAGUAGCAAUUGAACAUCUGUUGGUUCAGAUGACCUGAAAACUCAACAAGAGCGAAGCAAAACCUAGUGAGCUCCUGUGUUGCCUAGGUAGUGUUCCAACUGAAACGACCCCUCAUAAGACACUUGCAAAACCAGCCGAUAAUUGACUUCACCAGAGUUUGACGCUAAGUUACAACAACAUGCAAUGUUUGCAUAACAUGCACAGGAAAAUAUUGUUCAUGUGCAGUUAGAUUAAACUAUACUUUCCAGUAUAAAACACACAUUUUUAAUUCCUCUCGCAUCAUCCACCACCAAUUUUUGGUUUUGCUGUGCUUGUUUCAAUGCAUUAUGGGUCUUAGAAUUUGGCAAAAAAAGAAAGUAUAUUGCUUUCAAAAACUUUUUAAAUCACAAGUGUGCUUAAGAUGUCUUAAAAUACCGCCUACAUAGGCAGCAUAGUAAAUGGAAACUCUUAAGUGGCAUAUUUGAGAACACUCUACUUUGGGCAACAACUUUCAAUAGAAUUUCACUAGAGUUUGAUACUAAGCUACCAAUGCAUUUCUCGGACAAAGACUUCAUAGCAAGAUUUUACUAUUUUAUAACAUUUUAAAGAACGUUUUUAAUUGCCAUUCAUCCCACACUCUUCACCAUUCUUGGAUGUGGUUUUUGG